rfam:Cavia porcellus supercont2_23 genomic scaffold, whole genome shotgun sequence.
GGGGAUUUAGCUCAGCGGCAUAAGCGCCUGCCUUGCAAGCAGGCAGUUCGUGAGUUCGAUCCCCG